UACGUAGGUGACCAGCGUUGUCCGGAUUUACUGGGCGUAAAGAGCGCGCAGGCGGUCGUUCAAGUCGAGUGUGAAAGCCCCCGGCUCAACUGGGGAGGGUCAUUCGAUACUGAUCGACUCGAAGGCAGGAGAGGGAAGCGGAAUUCCCGGUGUAGUGGUGAAAUGCGUAGAUAUCUGGAAGAACACCGGUGGCGCAAGCGGCUUGCUGGGCUGUAACUGACACUGAGGAACGAAAGCUAGGGGAGCGAAUGGG
rnacentral:rRNA from 1 species